AAUUUGCCAGUAGAUGUCAGCGUGGAGAUGUUUGUCGUUGUUUUGAAACUUGCAUUGUUUUGAUACAAUUCCAGUACAAUUACCUCAAACGUGUUUCAAAAAUCCUCAGUAUUUUUUUUCCAUCAUAAAAAUGUAGCAGUUUUGAAGUCGUGCAUGGAUUCUUUAUGGAACGGCAACUCUUGUUUGUUUGUAUCCUGUAACGCGGAAGUGCCAACAUCGGACUUCAGGUGAAGACUUCUACAUUCUACCAACCAACCAGAAAAACCCAGAAGAAGCCAGAAUCUUCUGGAAACAAAGAGCCAAGAGGGGGAGCAACUGAUGCUGGGCAAAAGAGCUGCAUGAAACCUUAGAGCCACAGGUUGGAGUCUCCCGAUCUAAGAGUUGGUUGGGAAGGAGCUAGUGUACAGUUUUGUGCAGCUGUCUGAAUAUCCUUUUACCUCCCUGGUCUGUCCAAAGGAAAAGGUGACACAAAUAUUUCAAAAAGGCACAUUCAAGAUAAACAAGGUGCUGGAUGUUGCCUUACUACAGUCCCUGUCACCCACACGUUCCCUAGAUGUAGGUAACAUGUGCUUGUGUGCACGCUGAAGCUUGUUAAUGCAUUUGUGGUCACUCUCCUCUCUCAUUCUCCCAUGUGAUGACACCUGCACUUGCAUAAUGUGAUGGGUUAUACACACUGUGGGAUCAUGAUCACAUGCCCUUAACCUGGAAGUAGCAGUAGAGACUGACAUUUUACCCCCUGAGAAUUGUGACCUACUGCUCUUAAAACCUUAGGCAUACCUAUUUACAACUCUACUGAGUCUCCCACAGGUCCAUGUGAGUCCCAAGACUUCUUUUUACUCUGAAUCAUAUUUCUGACCUGCUAACACUUUGGUGUCCUCCUUUGAAUCCUACACAUGCAAGACAGCUGUCGGUUUGCUCUUCCUUAAAUUAGGGCAAUAAAUCCUCGUUAUCACCUUCCAUCUUCUGAGUCUUAAAGUAUCACAGAAACAUCACAUCUGGACACAAGAACGUCACUCUGACAUGUCAAGCUCCUAACAACAACACCAUUAUUAUUGUAGAGUGGAGCAGAGCUGACCUGGGAGAUAAAUAUGUGCUUUUGUACCGGAAUGAGCGUUUUGAUCCAGACAACCAGCAUCCAUCUUUUAAGAACCGGGUGGAUCUGAAGGACAGACAGAUGAAGGAUGGAGACGUGUCUUUGAUUCUGAAGGAUGUGACGAUUAAUGACACUGGAACAUACGAGUGUCGUGUCUUCCUGGUCGAAACGCGAUCAUGGGAGCACAGCAUCAUCUACCUUCAUGUUGAUCCUCCAGGUCAGACAGGAGGACACACAGAGGAUGGAUCUGUUGGACUGAAAGUUGGUCUUCCAGUUGUUAUUUUCCUCCUUCUUGUUGGUGGUGCCUUUGUUGGUUAUUUGAUCUACAGAAAAUAUAAACAACGUAGCCAGGACUCCUAUUGCCCCACCACUGAACCAGAGAUUGAAAUGUCUAACAGAUUUCUGAGUUCUGAAUCUCCUGCUAAUGAACACAAUGACAGAAAUCACCCAGAAGAAAACAGCUGUCACCAAGACUCCACAAGGAUUCCUGAUGCCACUCUGACACUUGAGAAUGAACUACUUCAUCCUCAUCCUCCUUAGGAAACAGCAGGACUGCUUCCAGAGAGUGACAUCAGAGUGCAGUAGAUAAUGUCUGACAGCAGUUUGAAGAGGAAAUGGAUUCUGUUCUGUUCUUCACUCAUCACCUACCUGACAGCUGACACCUCACACCUGUUUCUCACCUGCAGGUCAGACAGGAGGACUCGGAAAAUAUUGGGGAAGAAGGAUGGAGUCAGUAGACAUCUUGGACUGGUAGCUUUUAUAUCAGUUUUAAUAUCAGUUGUCAUGCAAUUUGCCUGCUGUUGUGUUCUGAUCUCGCCUCUGUACAGUGAUGAAGACCAGGGGAAAAAAAGCAAUAUAUUUAUAUUGCACUUGUCACAGUGAAAAAAACAGCAACAGUACCGACUAGAAAUGGCACGAUACCACUUUUUUUUGUCCGAUACCAAUAUCAUAAACUUGGAUAUCUGUACCGAUAUGAAUCUGAUAUAGUGUAAUUUAUACUCGACAAAAUUGUUUUUUUAAUAUCUUGCUGCAUUUUGUAUAAGUUCAUAGUCAAGUUUUAAAAAACAAAACACUAAAACUAUUCUGUUAUACCUGUUUGCAAAAAAUACACUGCACCCAAAGUAUUUCAUAGUUAAGUAUUACUGAUCAACCUAAUAAACGUACACCAUCCUCCCUAUUCUGGUAUUUUAAAGAGUACUUAGUGGAAAUAUUAAACUACCUAAUAGGGUUGCCAACUCCCAGCAAAAAAUAAAUGAAUGAAAAAAUAGG